UUUAUUCUAACUACUGCAUUCAGUUAGCAUCUUCUUCCUCCAGGGUUCCCUGUGCCUCAUCAGCUCACCAUCGGUCUCAGCUCGGUCAUCUCCUUUUGCAUUCUCUCAGUCCUUGCAGCCAUUUUCCUUGCCAAGAGAUUUCUGUUCCUGUUGUGUCCCCGUUGUCUGUCCUGUCCUAUGUCACGGCUCUCAGCACACAUUUGUGCCGGGGCUGCUCUGCCCUGCCGCACAGCCUGGUGUGAUAGGAGAGGGCCCAGGGACUUGGAAUGUGUAAUGUGGGGUGUAGUUGGACUCUAGAUGGGAUUUGUAGAUGGACACAUCAUAUCUGGAGCUCUUCAGUUAUCCUGCAACAGUGUGACUCUUGUCCUAACUUUUUUUUCAGAUUGAGAUGGAUUAAAUCUGUGCCAGAGGGCCCAUCCCAGGUGUGGGGAUUCUCCCAAGCAGGAAGUCAAUCUGGAUGCCAGCAGUCAAGGUGGGCAGCGGGGAGAAGUGGUUGUUAUUGCUCAGCUCUGAAGCACAACAAUUUUUCAGCAGAUUCAUCGUGUCACAAGAGGGAUCUGCCCAGUGUCAAGGAUGAUGUUUGAGAUUGAGGCUUCAGGUGCCACUCCUAAUAAAGGCCACAGCCUUGGAAUCAGGAUGAAGCUGGAGCCUGAAGGAGCCAGGCACGCUCAGGAGAGGACAAGUAGCUGCCUUGCAGGGAUUUGGCCCACAUAACUCUGGACUCACACUUUGGUUUUGGUUUCUUUAUUGUAGCUGACCCGAGACUAACAGGUGAUCAUGGGGCCCUCCAAGGCAGACUCAUUUCAGGUGCAGCGUGGAUUCCCAUCACCGAUCAUCCAAAAGAUAAGUCGGGGGCCACGGCCUGGAGAUGGGAGAGUAGCAGGUUGGGAAUCCCUGGGUCAGAUUUAAAAAUUGGCAGCGGGAAAAGCAAUCUUCUCCAAGGGCCUCUUAGGACGGCUAAAGGGAGAGGCUCUACUUUUGAUGGCAGCUUUCAGGCAGGCAGUGCAGAACAGCUCUGGUCUGUGUCGUGUUGUCCGGUGUGCCGUGUUCCCUAGUGUGUCUUUGGGGUCCCUUUUGCCUUCCCACCUCAAUCCCCUCACCACAAGCAUGAUGUGUCGUGUUUCUUGUCCCCCCUGUUUGUCACGUUCUGUGUCACGGGUGUGUGCACACAUUUGUGCUGGAGCUGUUCUGCCCUGCCACAUAGCCUGCUGCCGUAGUAAAAAUUCCAGAAGUAAAAAUCUUGACGCAGAAAUAUUUAAUCAAAUAUAAAAAAAUAUGAAAAAAAAGAUGUAAAAAAUAUGAAAUACUAUUUGCAUCAUAUCUAUUAUAGAAUGUAAAUUUAGUUUUAAAUUGACAUUGGUAAAGAGAAAUGUGUAAGUAAGCAAUAUACAUUAAUAUACAUUAUAAAUACAAAUAUGAAUAUAAAAAUUGAACAUUAAGAUAAAACCUAUUUAAAUUUUGUUUUAAAUAAAGGGUUGGGGUUUUUUUUAUUCUUAUUGUGUUGGAGGCAGGUUUUUUUUUUAAAUAAUAUGAAUGUAGAUAUUAUUGUCAUAUAUAUUUCUAAAUAUUGAGAUAUACAAACAAGAUAUAAAUAUAUAUAAACACAAAAUACAAAGAAACACAAAUAAUAGGAAGAGAUGUAAUGAAGAAUACAAAUAACAGUAUACAUAAGUAUACAUUUUAAAUGUACAUGUGGAUAUGAACCUGAAAAAUAGAAUUUUAAAAAAUUUUUAAAUACACUUAGGAAAAAGGGGUUCUUUUUGGCUUUAUUUUGGAUGGAGGUAAAGGUUUUAUUUUAAAUCAUCCAAGUGUUACAGAAGUAAAAAUCGUAACAGAAAUAUAUACUUACUAUGUAAAAAUAUGUAUAAAAAUACAGAAAUAAAUGUAAGUUUUAGGGAUAUAUGCAAUAUGGAAUAGAAAUGUAUUUAUAAAAAGAAAUGUAUAAAUGGACAGUGUACAUCAAUAUACAUUGUAAAUAGA